rnacentral:lncRNA from 1 species
CCCAGGUUCAGGGAAGAGAACUUUGUUGUAUUGAUCUGCCAAUUCAGAGACAGUCUGCCCUAUGACUCAGGAAAGGAAGCCUCGUCCCUUUUCAGAAGACACAACCCGAGGCCUCCUGGAAUAUUCUGAGACUAUCCUGUUCUCACGCUGAGAAGACUUAUGUCCCUGGGUUGAAACAGGCCCCUGGGUUGGUAAUGUGUCAAGAAGCAACUUUUUAUGAUGACUGGCCCUGUCCAAAUUUAUUUGCAGAAACUCAAAAAGAUCAGAAGGAUGAGGACAGAGAUGAGCCAACCGCCCCCAGCUGGGAGCUGCAGGAGGAGGAGGAGGAAAUGGAUGAUGCGUGUCAGGAUUCUUUGGAUGAAAAGUAUUUGGCUCUUUCCAGUCACCAUGACUUGUCUGACUCCUGCCACCCUCCCGACAGUCCCACCCUCCCAUCUGAUGAGCAUGAAAUCUGCUCUCGUCUGGAUGGAGCCCGUGAGUACUCUAUUGGAAAGAGGACAAGCUCCGAAUGGUCUCCCAGGUAGCCUCCAUGUUCUUUGUGCUCACACCUCUGUCCGGUUGCAGAAAUGUCUCUUUGAUGGCAGGCCUUGGAGACCCUUCUUGGUUUCAAUCAGAAUCUAAGAUUCAGUUGUAAGCACAAACAUGGGGUGUGUCAAGUAGCUGUACACCCUUCCAGGUCCCAGAUCAAAUCUCUGUCACCCUGGGACCCAAUGCCAAGCACAGGCUGAUGAACACCAGGUAAACCAGAGUGGGGAGAUUCAAGAGAUCAUAACACGCUUCCACCCACCACUGAUGCUCCUGCACAACAGGAGUCUCCAUGAGCUCCUUCUAGAAAGAUAGGCCCUCUGAUCUCUCCUGUAAUUUUCUUCCUAAUUGAGUUCCUGAACUGAGCAUUAAUGACUGUCCAACUAGGGUGGUAGUCUUGCCUAUCUCUUUGGAGAUGUUGUUACCAUGGUUCCUCAGCUCUGGACUCUCGUCUCUCUCACCUCUGAGAUAUCUUGUCUUUGCUAAACAGUCUGCUGAGGAACGAGACAAAGAUACCUUUGUCUUUCCAUGUCUGGAGUUUUCGCUGAAAUCAAGGCAUGGGCCCUGGUGGCCCCACCUCUAUGAAUCACCCAGGCUCCUGGCCUCUGGAAAGCGCCAAAUACGCUUUCCUCCGUGGGGUGUAUGGAUUCCAUCCAUCAGUCUCAUCUUGGUGUACAAUCCCACCUAUCUCACCAAACACCAGGGUGUCUGCUGGGGCCAAGCUGACUCUUUCGGCAACACCUCUUGAAGGCUGCUGACAUGUUCCCUGUGAUCUUUGGUGAAAAUAGACGUAUUUAACUGUUUGCUCGACUCAGGGCAGAGGACAUGGGGGUGAUGAUCUACCAGGGCCGGGUCGAUGUCUGACUAGACGUUAUCGGAAUUUGUAUGCAGAAAGUCAUGAAGACGAGGAGUAUGUGGAAGAGAGAGAACCACUGUCCAAAAUGAACGACCAGGGGAGGGUAAAGGACAGGUAAAGUAUGGAAAGGGUCCUAGAAAGAUCAAGGAGCACAAAGGUGACCACAUCUGUGAUGCGAUGGUCACCCAAACCUGCAGAUUGCAGUCCUGUCAUUCCCUCAACCAACAACGACAUAGCCCU